GCCUGCUGCUCUUCUAUAUCGAAUCUUGGUCUGUUUUUUCUUUUAUCGUGAAAACAACGUAACUGGGCUUUUUUUCCCUGCUUAACUUUUUUUUCAUAACUCAGCUAGAAUUCACCUUGUGAUAUGAAGAAAUAGAUAUCAUUGCUUUUCCCUCGAGUAUUAUACAGGAUAUUCUUCAUUAUUUUGGAGGACAAAGAAGAUAAAAGAAAAUGCAUAUGAAUAUCAAUGAAAUGGAAAAUAAUUCUAAGCAGUAAUUUUCAAUGGGGCUUGCAAACUAAGGUCAGAGAACUCACUGGGCAAGAUGAAGGUUUCGCGGACGUCUCCCCUGGCAGAGAGAAAAGGACUAGUGAUUGUAAACGGACCUUGGGAGCUUCCUCAAAAUGGAGUGUUUCUGAAGUCCAGGUACAGACGCUUUCUGUGUUCUUCGGAAACACUCGGAAGGAGAAUCCUCGAUUUGGAGGCGCUCGGAGAGGCCGCGCGGGACUCAGAUAUCAGGAGAGAGAGGCUCUGAAUCGACCUGAAAGCGAUCCUGUUUUUGAUGACAAUGUGCAGACGUUGAUCUACAAUUACCACAGCUACGAUGACAGAAAAUCACAUCCUUUGGAGCCGGAGGUGGCACAGUGCAGAGUUCUGGGUUGGCAGGCCAUACCCAUGGCAGGGUCGCAGGAAAAUCCUGGAAGUGAGAAAGCCACAGAUGGGAUGAGACCCAAAAUAUGA
rnacentral:lncRNA from 1 species